CUCGUAGGCGGUUCGUCGCGUCCGGUGUGAAAGUCCAUCGCUUAACGGUGGAUCCGCGCCGGGUACGGGCGGGCUUGAGUGCGGUAGGGGAGACUGGAAUUCCCGGUGUAACGGUGGAAUGUGUAGAUAUCGGGAAGAACACCAAUGGCGAAGGCAGGUCUCUGGGCCGUUACUGGCGCUGAGGAGCGAAAGCGUGGGGAGCGAACA
rnacentral:rRNA from 1 species